ACGCUCGACACCUACGGGAGCAGCAGUGGGGAAUAUUGCACAAUGGGGGAAACCCUGAUGCAGCGACGCCGCGUGAGUGAAGAAGUAUUUCGGUAUGUAAAGCUCUAUCAGCAGGGAAGAAGAUGACGGUACCUGAGUAAGAAGCCCCGGCUAACUACGUGCCAGCAGCCGUGGUAAUCUGAGCGGGCUGGCAAGGC
rnacentral:rRNA from 1 species